UACGUAGGGUGCAAGCGUUAAUCGGAAUUACUGGGCGUAAAGGGCUCGUAGGCGGCCAACUAAGUCGGACGUGAAAUCCCCAGGCUCAACCUGGGAACUGCGUCCGAUACUGGAUGGCUUGAAUCCGGGAGAGGGAUGCAGAAUUCCAGGUGUAGCGGUGAAAUGCGUAGAUAUCUGGAGGAAUACCGGUGGCGAAGGCGGCAUCCUGGACCGGCAUUGACGCUGAGGAGCGAAAGCCAGGGGAGCAAACGGG
rnacentral:rRNA from 1 species